AAAUGAAUUGACGGGGGCCCGCACAAGCAGUGGAUUAUGUGGUUUAAUUCGAAGCAACGCGAAGAACCUUACCAGGGCUUGACAUGGAGACGACGUGCGUAGAGAUACGCAUUUCCCUUCGGGGACGGCUCACACAGGUGGUGCAUGGUUGUCGUCAGCUCGUGUCGUGAGAUGUUGGGUUAAGUCCCGCAACGAGCGCAACCCUUAUUGCUAGUUGCUACGAAAGAGCACUCUAGCGAGACUGCCGUUGACAAAACGGAGGAAGGUGGGGAUGACGUCAAAUCAUCAUGCCCCUUAUGUCCUGGGCUACACACGUAAUACAAUGGCGUUUAACAGAGGGAAGCUAAGGAGCGAUCCGGAGCGAAUCCCUAAAAGGCGUCUCAGUUCGGACUGCAGGCUGCAACCCGCCUGCACGAAGUCGGAAUUGCUAGUAAUCGCGGAUCAGCAUGCCGCGGUGAAUACGUUCCCGGGCCUUGUACACACCGCCCGU
rnacentral:rRNA from 1 species